rnacentral:lncRNA from 1 species
AAAACCUCAUUUAAUAUGGGAAGUCAACCUCAUUGAAUAAUCUUGUCCGUAUUAAAAAAUCCCAUGCCUAUAAAUAGUUAGAUGGAUAUGCUUUACCAUACCAUAAGAAAUUAGCCAAUUUGUUUUCACGGCAAAAACCAUUGUGUUGUAUAAUGGAAAGUUUAUCGAAGAUGUUGGUGGUCUUUUUUGUUGCAAUUGCGACGAUCUUUGUGGGAAGUGCACAUGGAAUUCGUGUUCCAAAUCAUGCAUCUUUUUGCAUACCAGAAAUCUGCCUAAGUCGACCAGAAUGCUGCCCUCCUCGCAAUGUUACACCACCUUAAAGUUCAUAUUAGUUUUAUAUAAUAAUCAAUUUGGGUUUAACAAAAGGCCCAUACAAUAUGUUAUAAAUAAAAAUUUAUAAGAAUAAAUGAUGAAUUAUUAUUCCUUUGAUCUAUUACGUUUUACAUUUUUAGUAUAUAUUUUUUUAAGACGUAAUAUUAUUUGAGAUCAACUUAAUUGCUCAACUAUAGAUGGAAAGUUUGGUGCCUUGUUAUCAUAUUAUAACGGUGAGGAUGAGUGGUACUUGUGCUUUUGUUCAUGUUAGUAAUAUGAUAUUAAGAGGUUGUUUGUUUGAGAAUUGGUUUCGUUUUUCGCUUGGGUGAGUUCCAGAAUUGUGGCAUUUUUUUGUUGGAAAUUAUAUUUGAAUUAGUAUUGUGUGAAUUGAAAGGAGAAGAUAUGACAUUUGAAAUGUAUAUUAAGAAUAUUUAAUAUUGUGAACGAGAGAAAACACACUCAAAUCUAUCAUAUGUAUCACAUGUUCGUUAAUCAUGGCUCAGGUUUGGGUUGGUGUAUAAUUUUUUAGAACCUAAAAAAUUUCAUGUUUAAUAUUUUAACGCGUGCGUUUUUUUUUCUCCAAAAUUUUCUCUAAUAGACUCCCAUAUUUAUUUUUUAUCACAGCUUUAUCAAUUACAACUUUCUCAACCAUAUUAGAAUAUUACUAACAUUAUUAAUUUCAACAAGUGAUAAAUUAAUAUUAAUUUAUCAAACAUUAAUAUAAUUUGUAAAAAAAUAACAUUCACUUUAUUCAUUAAAAUAUAUUCUAUAGACUAAUUUAUAUAUAUAUAUAUAUACAUAUAUAUGUAUAUAUAUAUUCAUCAGUUGCGCAAAAAAAAAAAUAUAUUCAUCUAAUUUUUUUAUAAAGAUAUUCAUGCAUCCAUAUGUUAAUCAGUUAUAACAGAACUAAAUUUUAUAUUUAUUAACACUAAAGUUAGAACAAUUUUAUGUUUAUCAACAUUAACUUUAUGGAUGAAAAAAAAUCAAUCUUAACUUUAUUUACUCAAAUAUUUCUUAAACUAAUCUCUCUCUCUCUCUCUCUNNNNNNNNNNNNNNNNNNUAUUAUUAUUAUUAUUAUUAUUUUUAUCAACUUUUAUGCAUAUUUAUAAUAAAUAAAGUUAUAACAAAUCUAAUAUUUCUUUUAUGAUACAUUACCUCUACUUCUCCAUAUAUUGUCAUAUUUAUUCACUAUUCAUGCAUAUUUAUUAAAUACAAAUAUAACAAAAUUCAAUCUUUCUAUCAAUAUUAACUCUACUAAUUAAUUCAUAUGUAAAAAUAAAAAACUCUACCUUUUUUUUACAACGAAAAAACUCUAUUGAUUCAUGUAUUUUUUACACUAUCACAUAUUCAUUCAUAUUAUAUGUAUAAUUAAAUUAAUAAUACAUAAAGAAUAUAAUUUCUCAUGAACUUGUUUCUCACAACUCAAAUUAUAGCGCGUUCCCAUACAAGUCACUUACACCAAAUCAAUUUUUUUAGUGUCAAGUACUUUUCGAGGAACUAGUUCAUCGCAAACUGCAAAUUUAUGCGCGUUCGCAAUGCAAGUCAGUUAACCACAAAGUAGCUUUUUAUGUGUGCAACAAUUUCCAAAAAACUAGUUCCUCAGAAACUACAAAUUUUUGCAGGUCUCAUGCAGGUCAGUUAGAGCAAAACAACUUUUUAUGUAUCAAAUAAUUUUCGAGGAACUAGUUCUUUGCAAACUUCAAAUAUCCGUGCAUUUUCAAUGCAAGUCAGUGAAAGCAAAUUAGCUUUUUUCGUGUCAAAUAAUUUUUGCGAAACUAAUUCAUCACAAACUUCAAAUUUUUGCGAGUUUCCUUACAGAUCAGUCAAAUCAAAGUAGUUUUUUUUGUACCUUUUAAAAUGUCAACCGGUGUUAUUGUCCUAUCAGUGCUUGCGAGAAACAAAUAUCAUCGGAAACGAACACAUCCCUUCCAAUGGUGAUAAUAUUUUUACUAAAAAAAAUUAAAGCAAAUAAUUUCCUAAGAAUUGUUUACCCAAGAACGGUGUUUUUUUUUUUUUUUUGCUAGGAUGUUUUUUUUCCCAAAAAAUUUGGUAGAAAAAUAGGAAUUUUCUUAUAUUGAGUGAGAUGUGUAAAUUUUUUUUGAUAUUAUGUUAGAUAUCAUUUUUAGAUAUGUCAUCCAUCUUUUUUAAUAACUAAUAAGUAUUGUAAAUAUAUUUUUAAAAUACCAAUGCCCAAGUUGAUAUUGUCGUUUCUUUUAUUUUUUUAAUAAGUUAUGGACCUUAUCUCAAAAAUCAAACUAUUAUUAAUACCUAAUCUAAUAAUAUUUAGUAUUGAAUGACAUUGUUUGAAUACUAAAAAAAAAGGAUAAAAGUGGAUGAUUUUACCAUAUAUAAAUUAGGAAAAAUUACACUUUUAUCUUUUAUUUUAUUUAAUUUUAACAUUUAAGUCUUUUAUUAUCUUUUUUUUUCUUUUAAAAAAAAAAACUACGGUGGCAAGCCACAUGAAUUUUGUUAAUAAUUUUUUUUAUGAAUAGUAAUUUUAUUUUUUAAUUAUCAAUAUAUAAAGUAAAUUUUGUAUGUCACGUGUCGCUAUUUUAUUAAUUCUCAAUUUUUUUUAUUAAAUUAUAAAAUAUAGUUUAUUAUCCUAAUAAACUCUAUUUUUAUAUAUAACUUUUUUAGAGGAGUAUUCAAACUACAUUGAUUGAUGUAAUGUUACAUCACUCAAUAACGAUUUACUUUAUAUAUUUUUUACAAAUUUGACUAUUAGAUUGAAUGAUUUAAAAGUAUUAGAUCAUUUAUAUAAAGUUUUACAUAAAUAUAAAAUUAUAUGAUAUAUUAUUGAGAUACAGAUUAACCUUAUAUAAUAAAACUGUUUAAUACGUUAAUUUUGACAUAUCUCCAUAACAUAUAAAAUGAUUUUAGAUUUACGUAAAAAUUGAUAUAGAUGAUCUACAUGAUAUAUCUUUCCAUAUGUAGGUCGAAUUUGUAAAAUAUUGAGUUUAAUCAUAUUGGGACCUUUAUUUUCCUCCUCCAUUUAAAUUCACAAAUCAAAUAAUCGAGCUCUAGAUACCACUUUGUUGGGAAAAACCAGAGAUAAUUAGCGAUAACUAUCUCAAUAGUGCGGAAUAUUUUUUCCCCCACCACAUGUGCAGAUAAAUGGCCAAACAGAAAAUACAAUUCCACAUAACAAAAAUAAUUGGCAGAAAAUUAAAUAUGAGACAAACGCAAUUUUUAACGUGGAAAAUUUCCCUCAAAUUGAGAGAAUAAAAACCACGGGACCUAGUCCAGUAAAACUUCCUUUAUAAUAAUUAAUGGGUACACCAAGAGUCUUCCUAAUAACAAUAGAGAAUAUCAAUCAACAAUAACAAACAUAUAACAACCUUCUACUAAAGUGGGUAUGCCAAAGUAACUCUCAGAGAAGAUAAAACUACUCAAAUUAUAUAUUAAAGUAAUAAACUCAGUGGUAGGAAAAACAUACUAACUUUGUAGAUCAAACGGAGCAAGUUUGAUACACACCUGUUACCACCACCAGAACCAAACCCUUAUUUUUUCUUCUUUGGCAACCGUUCUUCUUCCGUUGUUUUUCUGUGUAUUCUUAGAGAUUUCUAAAUCCCAUUUUAUUGCCUUCAAGUGAGCCAAGCCCAUUAAAUUUUUUUCUUUCUCUUUUUCCUUUUAUUUCAAUAAUAAUAAUAAUAAUAUUAGUAAAAUUGGUGGGUUCCACUAGAGGAGUGAGCUCACCCAACAUAUUGCACACAUAAGAAAAGAAAAAUUGAGAACAUAAGAAGAGUAAUAAUUGAAUUGAGUAUUUCGUUCAACUAAAUUAUUGAGUCAUUAUAAAUUUUAUUUAUAAAACAACACUUAAAACUUAAACAGAAAUAAUUAUCGUCUAACUAACUAAAACAUAACUAUGGACUAACUAUAAUAUUGUAGUGAUCGAGGGACAAAUGGUGAGGCUUUGAGUGCAUUCCUCUUCCCCAAUUUCUUUCCUUCUUCAAAUUUUUUUUUUUAUGAACAAAAUGAUAGAAUAACGAGGAAAGAGAGUGAGAUCAAUUUUUUACAUGUCAUUCAUAUGUUUCUGGUGUAACCAAGUUUGUAAGAUUAAGCAUUUUCUUACAUUUAGUAAUAUGCUAUAUUUAGUUUUUUUUUUUUUUUAAUGAAACUUGUAUUUAGAGACAAAGGUCACUAUAAUAUUUUUUUUUUUUUUUUUUUUUAGUUUGUGGUUUUGUUCUUUUUUGAUAAUUCUAUAAUUUAAUGUAUCCAAGAUAUGUAGUUACAACAUAUGUUAAAAACUAUAUUUAAAAAUAUAAUAUCUUAAUUAUUAUAAAAUGAUUUGAUUCUUCAUUAAAUUUCAAAUUUAAAUAUGCAUCAAUAGAAGUUGAACUAAAUAUUGUCAUAAGAUAUAAUAUCUUUAAGCAUUGCAAAGCAUAUAUAUGCAACAAUUAUUCUUGUAUUUUUUUAUGUAUCAACAAUAAAUAAUUAUCCUGUGAUUUUUUAUAUUUAUCUUGUCUCUUAUAUUUUAUGCAGUUGUAACAUUCUAUAUUUUUUAAUAUUUAUUUUAUCUUUUAUAUUUUAUGCAAUUGUAAUAUUCUAUAUUUUUUUAAUAUUUAUUUUGUCCCUUAUAUUUUAUACAAUUAUAAUAUUCUAUAUUUUUUUAAUAUUUAUUAUUGACAAAUAUUUAGUGUAGCGUAUUCUUUUUACAAAUAUGUUCUUUGCAGUUUUUUAUAAAAACAAAUGUAAUCUCUCAUUUAGUAUUAUGCAUGUACUAUUUCAAACAAGAUGAACCAAGUCAAAAUAGUUAUAAAAAAAUCAACCAAUGCUCAUAAAUUAAUAUUUAUCGGUGACUACUUUUUAUCUUUUGAUGUGGGUUAGUGAGAAAUAUUUGUUCUGUUGUUUUUUUAAUAUUUAUUAAUAUUAAACAUUUAUCUCUUAUUUUUUUAUGUAUUAAUAGAAAAAUUUUGUACUUGAUUUUUUCUAUUUAUGACUUAUAAAUAUUUGACUCAUGUUAUUUUAUGCAUCAUUUCUACGUAUGUAUUCUGCCUUUUUUUAAAAUAUUUAUCAACGAUAAUCAAAGAUAAAUAUUUAUUCUGUAAUUUUUACGUAUUAGUCGUAAAUAUUAUUUCAUAAUUUUUUUUAUAUUUAUCAUUAACAUAUACAUGUCUUAUUAUUAUUAUUAUUAUUAUUAUUAUUAUUAUUAUUAUUAUUUGUAUUAGUUAUAUAUAUUUAUACCGUACUAUUUUAAUAUUUUUCUGAUAUUUUUUUAUUAAACAUUAACAAUUAGUUACCUAGUGAUUUUUUAUAUUUAUUUAUCAACGAAUAAUAUUUGUCAUAUAUUUUUCUAUACAAUAAUUAAAAAUAUUAAUCCUAUAUUUUUAUAAUAUUAAUUAAUAGCAAAUAUUUAUUGUAGCCUAUUUUUUACAAAUAUAUCAUUUGCAAUUUUUAUUUUAAAAGGAAAUAGUAAAUUCUCAAUUACUAUUAAAUGCAGCUACUAUUUCCAACAUGAUGAACAGAUUGAGUGAAAAUAAUUUUUUCUUUUUUUGAAAAGAUGAACCAUUGUUUAUAAAAUAAUAUAUUUAUCAGUGGCGAAUAUUUAUUUUGUAUUUUUAUAUGUGGCAGUAGAAAAUAUUUGGUCCUGUUGUUUUUUAAUACUUAUGAUUGAUAACUUUUGUAACAUAACUUUGUAUGUAUUAAUAAAAAAUAUUUGUCAAUAAAAAAUAUUUGUCAAUAAAAAAUAUUUGUCUCGUAUUUAUCCAUAAAAAAUAUUUGUCUCAUAUUUUUAGAUAUGUUAGUGAAAGAUAUGUCUCUCGUUGUUUUUUAAUACUUAUUUCACUUGCAAAUAUUUAUUAUGAAAUUUUUUUAUGUAUGAAUAGCAAAUAUUUGUCCCGUUAUUUUUUUUAUAUAAACCACUUACAAACAUUUUUCUCGUCUUUCUUGUGCAUAAUUUAUAAAUAUUUAUCUCGCUAUUUUUUUAAUAUUUAUCAAUGGCUAAUAUUUUUUUCUUUCUUUUUUAUAUAUUAAUGGUAAAUAUUUAUUUUGUGAUUGUUUAUAUUUAUCUCUAAUAUAUGUUUGUCUUGUGUUUUGUUAUUGUUAUGUAUUUGUUAUAUAUAUCUCAUGUUAUUUUAAUGUUUAUCUUGUAUUUUUUUAUGUAUCGCAAAUAUUUAUUCCGUUAAUUUUUAUAUGUAUUUAUCAAUGAAAACUAUUUCUCCCUUGUUUCGUAGGCAAUACUUAUAAAGGUUUAUCCUAUAUUUUUUAAUAUUUACUAAUGAUAAAUAUUUAGUGUAGCUUUUUUUUUGCAAAUAUGUGCUUUGAGGUUUUUUUUAAUAAAUGGUAAAUUCUCAAUUACUAUUAAAUGCAUGUACUAUUUCCAACAAGAUGAACCAAUUGAGUCAAAAGAAAAUAAAAAUAUGAACUAAUGUUCAUAAAUUAAUAUUUAUUAGUAAUAAAUAUUUGUUUCAUGUUUUUUUUAUAUAUCAGUGAAAAAUAUCGAUCUUAUAAUAGUUUUAAUACUUAUUAGUGUCAAAUAUUUGUCCCGAGAUGAGGAAGAUAUUGCCGUAGCUGAUGAUGAAUAUUUGCAAAAUCGUUCUAUAGCCACUAAAAAAUGUUAUUCAAAAGUGUUUUUUAUGGUAAAGAAAAAUAAAUUAUGUAAAACGGUGUUUUGUUGGUUUAAAAAAAUUAAUGUACCAAAAAUCUUUUUAAAAGUUUUUCUGUUUUCAAAUUUUUUUUUUUUUGAAAAAAAUUGUGAUUUUUUUUCUUAAAGUAAAAUUAAAAUGUAGGGGUAAGAGUAUAAUUGUGAGGUAUGACAAAAACUUUCAAAAGUAUCCCAUAUUACUAAAUGCAUCAUUUAUUUUCAAUUAAUGCCCCUAAUUAAUCACAAAAAAGUAGGCAUCUAUUUUUUAAUAUAUCUAUUGUUUCACACCCCUUUUAUCUUGAAUAUAAGAUAAAAUUUGGUCAAUAUUUGUUGAUAUAUUUGAUAUAUGAAACUUUUUAAAAUUCCACAAUUAUGUAAACACAAAAAUAAUAGUUAAAUAUGCCCUAUUGUAAUUAAUUUGGCUAGUCAACCUCAUUUAAUAAUCUUGUCGUAUUAAAAAAUCCCUCUGCCUAUAAAUAGUUAGAUGGAUAUACUUUACCAUACCAUAAGAAAUUAGCCAAUUUGUUUUCACGGCAAAAACCAUUGUGUUGUAUAAUGGAAAGUUUAUUGAAAAUGGCGUUGAUGUUGGUGGUUCUUUUUGUGGCAAUUGCGACGAUCUUUGUGGGAAGUGCACAUGGAAUUCGUGUUCCAAAUCAUGCAUCUCAUUGCAUGCCAGAACUCUGCCUAAUUCGACCAGAAUGCUGCCCUACUCUCAAUGUUACACCACCUUAAAGUUCAUAUUUGUUUUAUAUAAUAAUCAAUUUGGGUUUGACAAGAGGCCCAACAAUAUGUUAUUAAAUAAAAUUUAUAAGAAUAAAUGAUGAAUUAUUAUUCCUUUGAUCU